UAAACCUAGCUGGUAAAUACAGAGUAAACCCCCAGAUUAAUCUAUCGCCUCUUUCAUCGCCUGUUCUCCUUCUUGAACCUAUUUUACGAUGUAAUUAUUGUUUCAUACCCAACUCAUUCUUCAAUCAGAAUUGUUCCUCUGUUUUUUAUUGCAGGAUAAUCAAUAACAAAAUCAAAAAAGAAAUUUAAUAAUCCCGUAUUGUUGUAAAUACUCUUUUUGAUUUUGCUAUUUUUGGUGAAAUCAAACCUUAAUUUUUUUUUUUACAUCUUCAUCUAUGGCUAAAGUUCUUCCAUCGAGAUUAUUUGUUCUUCAGAUUACAUAGGACUAAUUGAAGAACUUGGGGUGGGUUAUAAUCUGAUAUAGAUCGAUAUGGAGAAAGUGAUCUAAACCCUGAAAUAUCAGUGAAGAGUAAUGCAUUUAAUCUUCAGGAACUUGCUGAUGAGUUAGAGCUAGAAGGUUGUCACGGAUGAGGGUGAUUACCGGUGCACCAAAUGCGAAAUAAAAGCUUCUGGUCCCAUGCCCAGGUUCUAUUCCAGCUUAAGGUUGGAGAUAAAACUGGAUGCAUUGUGUUCGUUGCUCUGGACAUAGAAGUCCAGAAAUCAUAAACCACGUAGCCACAGAGCUGUAAUUGUUGAAGAGGCAGUCCUGUCAUUUUCAUGAACUGAAGGGAUGCAAAAGCACAAGGCGCAGGCAGGCGACCACACGUUUCAGUGAGCUGAAGACAGGAGGCAAUGGAAGAUCACUGAACAAAGGGUAGAAAGCAAAUGACAUUUUUGUUGUUGUUGCAGGUGCUACGUUCAAGUAGGAAUGAAGCACUUGCAGAGGAUAAUUUGCAUUUGAAAGCAUUGGGCAUGGCGAACAUUUGCAGCCUAUAGAAAACUAAUUGAAAGUUUUGAAGAGAAUACUUUCACCCUUUACGAUGUUGUUCCUGAAAGUGACCUAUUUGGAUUGUAAAUGGAGUAGCAAAGUUGAUGAGGAUAAAGAUAUUGCGGUGAUACGGGAUUGUUAGCUUCGAUUUGUGUUCUAGAAUUGACCAUUGAACAUAGUUACUGCAUUGUUUGUUUGUUUUUUGAGAUUUUUUUUUUUUGUGGAUUUUUUUUUUUUUCAAUAUCCGAAUAUUCGUCAAAGUCAAAUUUAUAAUGUUG